UUACACGGUUACAAAAUAGAAAGGCCCAAAUCGGAACACACCAGAAACUGAGGGCGGUACACCGGAGACGGUUCCGACGCUAAACAAAGACGAUUCCUUUGCAGUUACGACCUCAACAUCAUCUAAUCGUCAUCUUCUAGUGAUAUUAUCCAAGGGGAAGGACCAGAGGUGACCUGGUCGAACUAAAACUAUGUAUGUCGGCGUGCAAAUGGAUAUUUCGUUCAUAGCACUGUGUGGACCAAUUCAGUGGUGAAAGCUCUCCUGUCAAACUUAUACUUCUUGUUUCUAUCUUCAAUCUCCAAACACAUAAUGCUUCACUUUCUCCAUAGAAUCCGGGAUGAUGCACUAUAUGACGCUUCAACAACAACGUUUGUUAUGGAAUUUAGUAUCCUUUUUCUUUGAUCUCUGUAAGUGAUCUUAGAUGGAAUUUUGGGUGGUGGUGGUUUACUCGCUGCUGGCUUAUUUGAGGUUUCCUUCAACAUUGGCGAAUCUAUAGAGAAUGGAGAUAUUGAUUCAAGAUGCCAACGCAAAUGCGACAACAAAUAUAAUAUCAGACUUCUCUAUUUGGUAACAGACUAAACACUUUUCAAAGUUUGUUUAUGUACUCACAUGGAACCACAUAAGAGCUUUCGCAUUGGGUCAAGCUGCCAUAACGUUGCAGCAGCUUCCUCUCUUUAUCAAGGAUACUUUGGCCGGUGGUCUUUAAAGUCCCCUGAGAGAGCCUCCUUCCAACUAUAAGCUUGGUGUUCCUUUCGUUGGUGGCAGCUAAAGAGAAUUUGUGUAUGUAGUCCCCGAUACUGGCCCCAACACAUUGAGCUAGUCCCAGAAGGAGAGAAAAAUUGGUGGAGCUUUGGGGACAAGAUUGAUCCCUUCAAUUCUGGUGUUUAUAACUUAUAUAUGUCAAAAGGGAGGUAGGAGCGUGUUCGUAUAUUGAUGAUCCAGUUGGGUGUCAGUCACUGCUUUCAUGAGCAAUACAUAAGGUUUUUGGUUUAAGAACUCCGGGGGAAUCUAUUAUGCCUGCUAAUAGUCAUAGAGAACUGGAUUCUGAUAGUGUCGACCACUUGGUCUGCAAUUUCUCAUCGGAUCCAAGCCUAAUAGCCUUUGCACAGUUGUGCUGUGACUAAUCUUGGAAUAACACAAAUCUGAUUCUGAUUUCAAGGGGUUCUGCCUACAAGUGUUGUUUGACUGUAUAAGUAAGGGUAGACCAGCUCUGUUGCAGGUUUAUUUAUCCUUGUAUACAACCAUUGGUUCAAUGGCUGAUCUGCUUGUCAAAAGCGAUAGUAACGUGUGUGAUUCACUUUGCAUCUCAAGUCUCAAGGUUGCUCUAGCCUACAACGAGGCGGUAUCAAGUGGAAGAUUGAGCUCUUCAGGUGGCUUUGUACAAUCGAUUUUUUUAGCAGCGCUGAGAAAGAGAUGUGAAGAGAUAUUGAAUUGGUCAACGGAGCUGAAGAUUAGUUUGAGGAACUAUCUGACGACAGAAGCAUGGCCCGAUGAUGAGUAUAACUCAAAGUUGCAGAAAAAUAGAAUCAUUCUGUCAUGGUAUUUGAAAUGGUUCAGCGUACCAUCGCCAUCGAUCAUCAAAGCAGCAGUGGAGAAAAUCAAACCCAAAUCUAAAAACUCAACUUGGGCAAUACCUUUGUGGCGAUUGUUGUUACCAAGUACGCACUGAUGUGUUUUUUUUUUCCUCAAAUGAAACAACUGUUGUAUUGUGUAAAUCAUGGUCAAUUUCAAAUAGGUGAUGAUAAAUCAAUGUUGUAUU